AACAGCCUCUAUAAACCAACAUUUUCUCAACAGCGUCUUACCAACAUUUUCUCAACAGCUCUUAACCAACGAUUUCUCAACAGGGCUCUUAACCAACGUUUUCUCAACAGGGCUCUUAAUCAACAUUUUCUCAACAGCUCCUAACCCACAUUUUCUCAAUAUCCUCUAACAAAAAUUUUCUCAACAGCCUCUAACAAAAAUUUUCUCAACAGGGCUCUUAACCAACGUUUUCUCAACAGGGCUCUUAACCAACGUUUUCUCAACAGCUUCUUACCAAAAUAUUCUUAACCAUUUUUGCCAACAGCGCUUGACAUGGCCCCCACUUAGGUUUCUUUCUUUGUUUUUGUUUUCCCGCAGUCCUCGUCUAGUUUUUUGCCAAACUGGAUGAUGUGGAAGAUGAUUGAAACGCAGAAAAUGAGAAGACGGACAAUGUUGAAACUCCUUCUGAUGUCUCCCAGUUGUGACCCAAGGUCAUGGGUCAAGUAUUUGCAACAAAGAUUCAUGAAUGAGAUGAUAAGAAGGAGGUUGUGUGCUGCCAAAUCUUCACUGAGCUGAGGAGAUAAGAAGGAGGUUGUGUGCUGCCAAAUCGUCACUGAGCUGAGGAGAUAAGAAGGAGGUUGUGUGCUGCCAAAUCUUCACUGAGAUGAGGAGAUAAGGAGGUUGUGUGCUGCCAAAUCUUCACUGAGAUGAGGAGAUACCAACCAGCAGGAACUGGCAUGGGCCAUGCAAAAGAUUUGUUUUGAGAAGUCUCCGAUGAUGAAGUGACUACAACUGGAGCUGUUUGAAGGAUCAAUGCUGGAGGAUGCAGGGAAUGGUUACUUCAACCAGAUCUAUUUGGACGAGCAUUGAGCCAACUAGACCACUUGAUUGAGAUAAUGACAUUGGAGAUGAGAUAUACUUUUUGGACUAUUGUACCACCAGCUGCUCUGUCAAGUCUAGCCAGAUUACUCUCCGUUACAAGAUCAGCCCUUCAAGUGACAUAUGGAUGUUCCAGACUACCCAAAUGCUUUCUGGACAGCUGCAAAGAGCCAACAACAGACCACUUGAUUGAGACAGAUUGAGACGAUGACCUUUUUGGUCCGUGUACCACCAGCUGAAGAACGACUGUGUCAUACAUGGGUCUUGCUAGUCGACUCUGCGCUACAAGUCCAACCAUUCAGUAAUGUAGGGAUAGGCUGAUCGACACUUUUUGGAGUGUGUGCCACCAACCAGCUGAAGGACUUUCUUGCCACAAGAUUCCGCUGCAAGUUCAACCAUUUAAGAGGCGUGGGAUAGAGUCAACACUUGUUGGCCUGUGGACCACCAGCUGAAGGACUCCUGUUAAACCUACUGUAGUAUAGCAAGGCAACUCUUUAACGGCUUGCAAGUUUAACUGUUGCUAUGACAGAGGGAUGUUGAGGGCAACCAACGCUUUUUGGACUGUGCUACCCGUCGAAGGACAAUGUGCUACCCGUCGAAGGACAAUGUACUACCCGUCAAAGGACAAUGUGCUACCCGUCAAAGGACCUUGUCAAGUCUUGAUAAAUUACUCUCCACAAAGCAAUAACAUUCAUCGCAAGACAAAUUGCCAGUAUUAAGGCCGAGUCACACUGCAGCGAUAACUAAAACAAUAACGAUCACGAGGCAAAGAGAAUGCAUUCUAUUGGUUGAACUGCUCCACGCAGAAUACGUGGGGGACCAUGCAGUCCAAUAAUUGUGGCUGGUAACCUGUUUCCGUUAAACAAUCUUUUUCUUUGCUUAGCAAAUUUUUGUGCUUACAGGCUUUAUGAAAUUGGGCAAUGGUAGUUUGGCUUGUAACUGCAAUCUAGUAAACAACAUAAUUUGUUUACGCUUAGCUACUUUUUCUGCGUAAGCAGCUCCAUGAAAUUGGACCAUAGACUCGGGAGACAACAAUCGUAAUAGUCUGUGCCUGAAGUGGUGGAUGCGGCUAUGGCUACAGGUGUCUGUAUGAUCCUCACGAUCAAGCCACAUCCGUAGCCACUAAUUCAGAUACAGCCUUGUCUAUACUCAAUUUUUGAAUCCAUCAAACUCCAACACCAUUGUACAGUGUUAGCUUCAGUAACGGAGUUCAGAAAAUUGGUCCCAUGCUAAGCAUUGUCAAGUUAUUAAAUGGAAAAUCAAAUUCAGUCAAACACUCUUUGGAUUUUGAUGGUGUCAAACAGAGAGGGUUAGGAAUACAACUCUACAGGGCCCAACUUCAAAGAGCUGUUUAAGCAGAAAUUAUUGCUUAAAGGUAUCUAUGGUCUGCUGAGCAGAAAUGAGCAGGAUACCACUCACAAAUUGUGAAUGGUAGUCAGUGGGUAUUCUGGUAAGCAUAAUUUGGUUAUGCUUAGCUACUUUCUGUGCUUAUAAGCAGUUCUAUGAAAUUGGGCC